UACAGAGGUCUCGAGCGUUGUUCGGAAUUACUGGGCGUAAAGCGUGCGCAGGCGGCUUUGCAAGGCAGAUGUGAAAUCCCCGGGCUUAACCUGGGAACUGCAUUUGUGACUGCAUGGCUGGAGUGCGGCAGAGGGGGAUGGAAUUCCGCGUGUAGCAGUGAAAUGCGUAGAUAUGCGGAGGAACACCGAUGGCGAAGGCAAUCCCCUGGGCCUGCACUGACGCUCAUGCACGAAAGCGUGGGGAGCAAACAGG
rnacentral:rRNA from 1 species